rnacentral:rRNA from 1 species
UACGUAGGUGGCAAGCGUUGUCCGGAAUUAUUGGGCGUAAAGCGCGCGCAGGCGGUCCUUUAAGUCUGAUGUGAAAGCCCACGGCUCAACCGUGGAAGGUCAUUGGAAACUGGAGGACUUGAGUACAGAAGAGGAAAGCGGAAUUCCACGUGUAGCGGUGAAAUGCGUAGAGAUGUGGAGGAACACCAGUGGCGAAGGCGGCUUUCUGGUCUGUAACUGACGCGAGGCGCGAAAGCGUGGGGAGCAAACAGG